rnacentral:rRNA from 1 species
UGCCAGCAGCCGCGGUAAUACGGAGGGUGCGAACGUUAAUCGGAAUUACUGGGCGUAAAGCGCACGUAGGCGGUUUGUUAAGUGGGAUGUGAAAUCCCCGGGCUCAACCUGCGAAUUGCAUUUCAAACUGACAGACUAGAGUGUAGUAGAGGGAGGUGGAAUUUCCUGUGUAGCGGUGAAAUGCGUAGAUAUAGGAAGGAACACCAGUGGCGAAGGCGACUCACUGGCUCGAUACUGACGCUGAGGUGCGAAAGUGUGGGGAGCAAACAGGAUUAGAUA